rnacentral:rRNA from 1 species
UACGUAGGGGGCAAGCGUUAUCCGGAUUUACUGGGUGUAAAGGGAGCGUAGACGGCAUAGUAAGUCUGAUGUGAAAGCCCGGGGCUCAACCCCGGGACUGCAUUGGAAACUACUAAGCUAGAGUGCAGGAGAGGUAAGUGGAAUUCCUAGUGUAGCGGUGAAAUGCGUAGAUAUUAGGAGGAACACCAGUGGCGAAGGCGACUUACUGGACUGUAACUGACGUUGAGGCUCGAAAGCGUGGGGAGCAAACAGG